rnacentral:rRNA from 1 species
UACAGAGGUCCCAAGCGUUGUUCGGAUUUACUGGGCGUAAAGGGUGCGUAGGUGGCGAGGUAAGUUCGAUGUGAAAUCUCCGAGCUCAACUCGGAAAUGGCAUUGAAUACUAUCCCGCUUGAGGGUCGGAGGGGAGACUGGAAUUCUCGGUGUAGCAGUGAAAUGCGUAGAUAUCGAGAGGAACACCAGUGGCGAAGGCGAGUCUCUGGACGACUCCUGACACUGAGGCACGAAAGCUGGGGGAGCGAACAGG